rnacentral:rRNA from 1 species
CUAGGAUUAGAUACCCUAUUAUUUUAAGCUAUAUUUUGUUAGUAACUAAAAUUUAUGAAAUCAAAAAAUUUUGGCGGUAUUUUAAGCUUUUUAGAGGAAUUUGCUCUAUGAUGGAUAAAACGCCUUAAUCUUACUUAAUUUUGUUAAAUCAGUUUGUAUACCACUAUAGUUAAUAAUAUUGAAUAAUGAAUUAUUGGAAUUUUUUUUAAUUGAAAAAUAAUAAAUUAAGUCAAGGUGCAGCUAAAAAUUAUGAAUGAAGUGAAUUACAUUAAUUUUUAUUAAAAAUAAAAUGAAAAAAAAAUUUAGGAUUUAAAAGUAAGUUAGUAAUAUAAUGAUUAACUGAAAUAAGCUCUAAAAUAUGCACACAUCGCCCGUCGCUCU